rnacentral:rRNA from 1 species
UACGUAGGGGGCUAGCGUUGUCCGGAAUCAUUGGGCGUAAGCGCGCGUAGGCGGCCCGGUAAGUCCGCUGUGAAAGUCCAGGGCUCAACCCUGGAAAGCCGGUGGAUACUGCCGGCUAGAGUCCGGAAGAGGCGAGUGGAAUUCCUGGUGUAGCGGUGAAAUGCGCAGAUAUCGGAGGAACACCGGUGGCGAAGGCGGUUC